rnacentral:lncRNA from 1 species
UGGUGCAUUGUAUAAAGUCUCUCAAGAAGGCAUUUGGAACGGUUUCACUAUAAGGAAAUGGGCUGAAGGCCGGUUUAGCAAGUGCAGGAUGUGAACUUGAUCAUCUCCGGCACCACAAAAAAGAAAAAAGGAUAUGCUUAUCCUAUUUUAAAUAUUACCAAGUGUGUGCAUGUACCAAACACCAUAUGGUGCCCUAUAAGUGUGCACAGUCCUUAUGGUUUAACAAAUCAGUUAAAAGUGAAAAAUUAAAAUUAAAAAAAAAAGAUUGAACCAAAAGAACAUGCUCUUGGUCUUUCUAAGGUAGAGUGCCAGUCUCCAUUGCAAACAGUGGCCCUUGAAAGAGCAAGCUUCAAGGAAGGACAGGCAGGGGGGGGGGGGGCAUCCUGAAGCCUGUCAGAACCGUGGGCCUUAUCCAAAGUGAAAAAGUAGCUGUCGCUUGUUAGAGCAGAGUCCUCGGCACAGUGUGUCCGUCCUGUUUGGAAGUGUUCCCAAAAGGACUCGUGAGCUCUGUGCCAUCAAGUACUUCCCUUCAUCAAGCUGAGGAGGGCUCUGCCCUUACAGCUGGAAUGCAUCCCGCUGCUGGAGGCCACAGGUGCCACACACUUCUUCGUUGUGCCACAGAUUAAUCCACACGGUCAGGACUGUUGCUGGGGAACUCCAGCCGGCAAGGAAUUCCAGUGGGUCAGAGACAAGUUGGUGUAAGUGCUGGCACGGCGUGGCUCACCUGUUGUGUGAUUAAGUCAUGAGCUGCCGGUUGUUGUCUUUGGGAUGAGGCCAGGCAGCAUUUGUUCAAGGGAAGAACGAGGCUCUGUGUGCUGUGUGACUGUAUCAAUAGUCACGGGCAAACAGAUACCCGCAGAAGGGUAGAAUGGGAAGUGGGCGGUGCAGACAAAGCAGCUGUGUGGAAAGGUAUCUCCGUCAAGAAUGGGUUGGUGGCGAGGAACAAAAACUCCCUUAGCCGGAGUAGAAAUGGGAACUGUUGAUGGUGUUGGGGAACUCAGGAAACAUGGAAGGAAGAGCCUUCUGGUGCGAAGUGCACUGAACUACCAGGGUGCUUGCCCCAGCAGACCACAGCAAAGUGACCUCGCUUCUGGAGGUGUCAGAAGAUUCCAUCCACGGAGGCAGAGGCAAUUAAGUCAGAGCCCUUUGACUAUCCUUCCCAAUCCAAGACUGCGCUCAAGAUGAAGCGUUGGCAAAUUGCGGUCCAGAGUGGGCCAAUCCUGUCACAAGUCGAGCAUGGCCUUUAUGUCUCUCAAUGGGGAAAAAAAAAUCAAGAACAAAGUCAUACUUUGUGAUUCAUGGAAAUGAUCUGACUUCAGAUUUCAGUGUCUACAAAUAAAGUUUUAUUGGAAUACCA